ensembl:lncRNA
ACACAGUGGCACAAAGUCACAAAUACACACACCUGUAGUGGAACAGUAGCUCUACUGGUAUGGAGGUGGGCUAGGGUUAGCAAGUCUACUAGGAUACGUACACCAUUUGAGUCCAUUAUGUCCUUGACAUUUUUCUGUAAAAGUAAAAAUAACAAAUAAUAAUUUAAUUGUUUUUUUUUAAAAGAGCAGUUAGAAUAGGUAUCAUAACUGUACUGAUCUUUAAACUCACAAGGUGUAUUCAUUAUCUACUGUCAUAAAUAGGACAUUAAAGACUAUAUAAUUUGCUAUUAAUUAAACAAUUACAAAGAGAGCUGUUAAAUUUUACAAAGCUAAGAAAUUUAAUUAAUUAAUAGGGCUAACAAACGCAUAGCUAAGUUUGAAUACUUGUAUUUUCUCACCAACUGAGAACACACACUAUCAAUCACUUUAUUUAUAAAGCACAAUAAAAACACUAGGUGACCAUUGUGCUGUACAACCAAGUACGAAUAAGAGAAAUUAUAUUUAAAAAAAAGAAAAGAAAAAAGAAGAAAGACCAUCUAGGUACAACCCUACAGAAGUGAAAAGCCAACAUUACACACAGUAAACAACUGAAAACAAAACUGACCAAGGUUUUAGGCACUAGGUUUAGUUAUAAGCCAGAUCAAAAAGAAGUUUUAAACUUGGAUUUAAAUUCUGGCUGUGACAAAAUUAUUCUAAAAGAUACGGGCCAACUGUUCCACAAUUUCAGGCCUGCUAUUGCAAAAGCGCAAUCACUCUCCUAAUUUAACCUAGAUUUAGGUACCACCAAACGUCUUUGGCGAGAUGACCUCAAAUGUCUGACAUGUGAACUAAUGUUCAGCAGAUCAGAGAGAUGGGCCAAUUAGUUUAAGGCUUUAAAAACAUACUAAAAUUUCAAAUAAAUUCUACAGCAGACCAGAAACCACUGCAAAGAGAGUAAAACAGGGGUUAUACAUUCAUAUCCACGAGAGUUUGUCAAAAGUCUAGCAGCAGCAUUUUGAAAGAUUUGUAGCCAAUUUAUAAAAUAUGCUCAUUCCUAAGUAAAGUGAACUGCAGUAGUCAAGAGGAGAUGAAACAAGAGCAUGUAUCAUGCUCUCAAACUCUUUAAAUGAUAAAAUACUGCACUAAAUACUACAGUUAUUUAUUUCUUUUUAUAGAAGCAAAAAAGUUAUCCAACAACCAUCACCCAUGUGAAAAACUAAUUGCCCCCUUAAACUUAAAUCUGUUUAUGCCACCUUCAGCAGAAAUAACUGAAACCAAACACUUCUGAUAACUGGAGAUCAGUCUUUCACUUACUUCUAGGACCAGGACUUACUCCUAAGCUUUGGACCAUUGUCUUGCUGCAUAAUCCAGUUGCACUUGAGUUUCAACUUAAUGACUGAAGACCAGACAAAAGUGAUUUAGACAUUAAUGGCUGUGUG